rnacentral:rRNA from 1 species
CGGUGGGGCACUCUAGGGAGACUGCCGGUAAUAAACCGGAGGAAGGUGGGGAGGACGUCAAUUCAUCAUGCCCCUUAGGCCUGGGGCUCCCCACGUGCUCCAAUGGCGGGAACAAGGAGUGGCAAGCCGGGGAGGGCAAGCUAAUUUCUAAAACCCAUUUUCAGUCCGGAUGGUGGUCUCCAAUUCGCCUCCAGGAAUUCGAAAUCGUUAGUAAUCCAGGAUCGGCACGCUGCGGUGAAUACGUUCCCGGGCCUUGUACACACCGCCCGUCACACCCACUGAGAGUGGGUAGCUCCCGAAGUUCGGUGAUGU